GGGUCUGGCCAGGGGAGGGGGGCUCCGGGUACGUUCGGAACGCCGUGGUGAUAGCUGAUGUGAGAGUCGAGACUGUAACUAGCUAGAACCUGGCAGCUAGCUAACGUAUCUCUCUGUGUGACUGACUGAACGACUGUUGCUGCACCUAGCUGCUGCCACCCUCAACUCUGAUACGAGUGACCAACCCUGCAAAGGCAAACUAGCCUAGUACGCUAGUUGGCCAGGCCGAGAGGUGUACUUCCUAACAGCAAGAUCAGCUGUUUGAGACCCUGCGCACGCAUCUCUCAAUCCAGGACUCAGUUCCAGUAACAUUCCUUCUUCUCCAAGAUGACGGGUUGGUCUGUUCUGUCUCUGUCCCGGGUGCUGCAGGCCAACACACACACGGCUCAGGUGUUGAGGACAGCCUUGUGCGGAAGGAGGCAGAUGUCCCGCUACACCGUGAGUGAUACAACAACCAGAACUUAACCAAGGCAACAUGAUGCAUGACUGUAAAACUGUGUUGGAACAAAAUGGUGACUUUCACUGUGUAGAGUCACCGUGUAGAGUCACCGUGUAGAGUCACCGUGUAGAGUCACAGUGUAGUCACCGUGUAGAGUCACCGUGUAGUCACCGUGUAGUCACCGUGUAGAGUCACCGUGUAGAGUCACCGUGUAGUCACCGUGUAGUCACCGUGUAGAGUCACCGUGUAGUCACCGUGUAGUCACUGUGUAGAGUCACUGUGUAGUCACCGUGUAGUCACCGUGUAGAGUCACCGUGUAGAGUCACCGUGUAGUCACCGUGUAGAGUCACCGCGUAGAGUCACAAAAUGGUGACUCUAUCACCGUGUAGAGUCACCGUGUAGAGUCACCGUGUAGAGUCACCGUGUAGUCACCGUGUAGAGUCACCGCGUAGAGUCACAAAAUCGUGACUCUAUCACCGUGUAGAGUCACCGUGUAGUCACCGUGUAGAGUCACCGUGUAGUCACCGUGUAGAGUCACCGUGUAGUCACCGUGUAGAGUCACCGCGUAGAGUCACAAAAUGGUGACUCUAUCACCGUGUAGAGUCACCGCGUAGAAUCACCGUGUAGAGUCACCGUGUAGUCACCGUGUAGAGUCACCGCGUAGAGUCACAAAAUGGUGACUAUCACCGUGUAGAGUCACCGUGUAGAGUCACCGCGUAGAGUCACAAAAUGGUGACUCUAUCACCGUGUAGAGUCACCUUAUAGAGUCACCGUGUAGUCACCGGGUAGAGUCACCGCGUAGAGUCACAAAAUGUUGACUCUAUCACCGUGUAGAGUCACCGUGUAGAGUCACCGUGUAGAGUCACCGCGUAGAGUCACAAAAUGUUGACUCUAUCACCGUGUAGAGUCACCGUGUAGAGUCACCGUGUAGUCACCGUGUAGAGUCACUGCGUAGAGUCACAAAAUGGUGACUAUCACCGUGUAGACUCACCGUGUAGUCACCGUGUAGAGUCACCGCAUAGAGUCACAAAAUGGUGACUCUAUCACCGUGUAGAGUCACCUUGUAGAGUCACCGUGUAGAGUCACCGCGUAGAGUCACAAAAUGGUGACUCUAUCACCGUGUAGAGUCACCUUGUAGAGUCACCAUGUAGUCACCGUGUAGAGUCACCGCGUAGAGUCACAAAAUGUUGACUCUAUCACCGUGUAGAGUCACCGUGUAGAGUCACCGUGUAGAGUCACUGUGUAGAGUCACCGCGUAGAGUCACAAAAUGGUGACUAUCACCGUGUAGAGUCACCGUGUAGAGUCACCGUGUAGAGUCACCGUGUAGUCACCGUGUAGAGUCACCGCGUAGAGUCACAAAAUGGUGACUCUAUCACCGUGUAGAGUCACCUUGUAGAGUCACCGUGUAGUCACCGUGUAGAGUCACCGCGUAGAGUCACAAAAUGUUGACUCUAUCACAGUGUAGUGUCACCGUGUAGAGUCACCGUGUAGAGUCACCGUGUAGAGUCACCGCGUAGAGUCACAAAAUGGUGACUAUCACCGUGUAGAGUCACCGUGUAGAGUCCCCGUGUAGUCACCGUGUAGAGUCACCGCGUAGAGUCACAAAAUGGUGACUCUAUCACCAUGUAGAGUCACCGUGUAGAGUCACCGUGUAGAGUCACCGUGUAGAGUCACCGUGUAGUCACCGUGUAGAGUCACCGCGUAGAGUCACAAAAUGGUGACUCUAUCACCGUGUAGAGUCACCUUGUAGAGUCACCGUGUAGUCACCGUGUAGAGUCACCGCGUAGAGUCACAAAAUGUUGACUCUAUCACAGUGUAGUGUCACCGUGUAGAGUCACCGUGUAGAGUCACCGUGUAGAGUCACCGCGUAGAGUCACAAAAUGGUGACUAUCACCGUGUAGAGUCACCGUGUAGAGUCACCGUGUAGUCACCGUGUAGAGUCACCGCGUAGAGUCACAAAAUUGUGACUCUAUCACCAUGUAGAGUCACCGUGUAGAGUCACCGUGUAGAGUCACCGUGUAGAGUCACCGUGUAGAGUCACCGUGUAGCAUGCUGACCACACCACAAAAUAAAUGUACACAUACAUGGUACUCAAUCAUUGCACCCACACUGCUCACGGGCGUCUGAGUAGCCAGGCGCUAAAUAGAACUUGGUUCUAUUUGUGACGCUUGAAGCGCUGCAAGUCCCACCUCUUCCAUCUCCUCAUUGGUUUUUAGGAGAAAAAACACACGUGGGUGAUUGAAAGAUGAACUGAGG
rnacentral:lncRNA from 1 species